rnacentral:lncRNA from 1 species
AAUGUUGCUUUGCAUCUAUUCGGCCUAUCCGGUCAUCGGGUCCCAUUGCUAGAUGGUUACUUCGAUUAGUGCAGGAAGUGUUCUUGUACUACCGGCUUAGGUUCGAACCUGUGAGGUCACACGCUUAGAAGUUUUUGGAUUGAUCAAAUGGCUGAUUGACGAUUGAGAAUCGUCUAGAGGUAAAAUAGUCAAUGUGAUUGACUGAUUGCCCUAAGCAAUUGUUGCUUGGAGAAGUUAAUUGGUGAUUAGAUCACUGAUUAGACUCAAUUUGAUUGAGUAAUAGAGAUUGGGCUUGACCAAAUUCAAAUAUGAUUUGAAAUUGGUAAAACCGU